CUUACACAGUCUCCACUACAACGUCCGCCAUCUUGAAACGACGGCACCUCCCGAUGACGUCAGCGCCAAGUGACGUAGCGGAAAAGGAGAAGGUUUGGUCCAAUGGCUGGACGGAAUAGCUAACCGAGUGAGAAAGCUCGGCCGAGCCGUAGUCGGAUACUUAUGGCACUUUUUCGAUGGGAAUAGGUCGGAGGAAUUGUGGGAAACGAUAAAAGAGGUGGGGUGGCAGGCAACCAAUCUGCGGCCGGCAAAUCAACAACCGGACAAACAGGUCGGUUUCGCCUCCCCUCUUAAUAGUCCGCGUCGCUCGCUCAAGGACACGCCGCCAGAAAAGACCUCAAGGACAGGCGAUCCAUCCGGCCGGCAGCCAGUCGAUCGGGAUAACUCGGCUCGGCCGAAGUGCGUGAAAGCCACGUGAGUGUUCAGACGUCGGAGUGCAUCCGAGACCCGAAAGCGGAUCAAACAGAAGAAAUAUAUUCGAUGGAUCCGCUGGUCCAUUCUAAGAAAGUGAUUCUGUGUCGUUUUCACGCUAGUGAAGCAGCUGCGGUUCUGGCCAGCGCGCCCUGUAGAAUUUUUACCAGUGGACAACAUCGGAGAGCAUCACUAGACAUGUGGCAACACUCCGUAUUUCUCGUUUUCCUCCACUUCAUUAGAUGGCGCCACGGCAGACUUCCCAGAAAGAUCUAUCCGCCAUAUGACAUCCGGAUGCCAAUGGCAGUGUUUCUUCCUCUCUUGUAUAUUGCCUAAUAAUUUUGCUUUCCGUUAACCGAGGUCACGGUCGAAUAGAGUAGCGUAGACUUACGUCAUGCGAAAAUUUCUUCCUGCAUUUCGACCGUCCCUGCCAGCUCCUCGCCUCAAUUAAGUAACCAGCUGACAACGACCUAAUGCGUGCCAUCGGAACACGGAAACCUGGAUAUUGAGAAACCGGGAACAAAGACGGAAACGGAUAAGUGGCAAUCCCGCUGUCAGAGACCCUGGCGCUGGGGUUUAAUCCGUACAUGUCGGGAAGGCAACAAAAGGUUUCACGGACCGUGAUCGUCCACAAUAAGGCAAACAUCUGGUGAAAGCGCCGACCAGCGGUACCGGCUCAUUUCGCCCAUGGUAGCGUUUUGUUCCAACUUGCCACGCCAGUGUCCAAUUGCCUCCUUUGCCCAUCCAUUAGACUUUGUUCCUCUGGCAACUUAACAGUCGCACCGAUUGCUGUUAACACCAAAUUUUUAUUUCUUUUAAACGAAUCUGCGGCAAACUUUUUCGUGUCAAUGGUGGCGCUGCGCCGAGUAAACAAACAUCGGAAACAUCCGCCAGUAGUAUAUUUUCCCCCUGAAAGAUGACACUAAAACAUCCUUGGAUGACACUAUGGCCGCCAUUAGGCGCUAAAUAAACUCGUACCGGGAAUGUUUGAAGAGAAGGAAGCUUCUCGAGUCAAUACUAAGUUUUUAUACGGAUUUUUAACAGGAUCGCCUACCAUGAUUCUGAUAUAUUUGAGUUUAGAAGAGGAAAAUCCACUAGAAGAGAGCUGUCAGUAUUCCAUUGUAAAAGGUCACGACGGGUGGCAUUGAUGGACAGGUUUCGUGCUAAGUAACUUAGAAAAAUAACGUAAUUAACGCUGUUUUGUGCCCGCUUUGGCAUGGUAUAAACAAACAAAUUAACAUGGCCUGGAGGGAGAAUAAAACAAACGAGUUGGAUUAAACACUGGCUCGUUAAUACAGAUUAAUCUACUUCAUCGAAUUUCUACGCGUGGUAGUUGGUAUGCCUUUUUCAUUGCACGGAUUGUUGGCAUUCCCGAUUAACGCGAAGGCUAAACUUAUAAAAAAAAAUUCACUGUCUAAUGUCGUCCGACAUGUAAUUUCGAUCCGACUAGAGCACUUUGUCCAGUCUGCACAAGGAAUGUUGAUGCCAAAGCACUCCCGUGUUCAACAGUGUUAAUUUUCUGUGCGCAACUGUAAUUGUAUCGGAUUUAUAACAGCAAUUCAUCGCCUUUGGAGAUGUGUCCGAUUCCCACAUUCCAGCCAUGUCGACCCGGUAAUAGGACCGACUCCUAUCAUCUUGUCGAAGGAUUUUUUUUUUUUUUUUAUUGAAUCUGGAGGGAUUCGCUCUGAAUUGCUG
rnacentral:lncRNA from 1 species